UUCAAGUAAAGUAGGUGAACCAAUAGCAAGCAUAUGAGGAAGGACCUUCAGCGUUACAGCCCGAGUACUCAGUAACAUGCCUACUACACUAUGCAAAGAUGAUGAUGGGUUUGGGGAAAAUACAUAAGUGUAACUGCUUUAUUAUGCCUGUGCAUCCUACAGGUUUACAUAAUAAUGCAUUUAAAACACAUUAGACUUAAGUUGUCUUUUUAGAGCUCCUGUUGUUUUUCUUCUCGCUUGAGAUGUAAAUACAAAGCAAACCUCAUUUAUUGAAUCUGUUAAUCUCUGGAUUAAUGGGAAUUGUUAAACUGAUUUGCAGAGCUUGUUUUUGAGAGUUAUUAAGUUCCACCCCUUCCCCAUACUCAACUGAAUAGUGAUUUUAGGAUUACUGCAUAGUCUAAAUACUUUUUAAGUACAGCAUAGAAACAAUCAUUAUGGAAACUUCAGAGCAGUGUUAUAAGUGUACACAGUUUAUGAAGUAUUUUUAUUUUCUCCUCAGUGUUACAGAAGAAAAAGUUGAAUUUGUGAUGAGGUGAACAUAGUGGAUGCUCUAGAGUUUGCAUGAACAAUAUGGGACUGAAUUGAAGUUCAUGUCUGAUGCUGUAGUUCUAAUUAAACAGAGGGGGAAAAGUCCCAUUGGAUUUGCUUUCAUUUUAAGGUUAGCUCCUUCCUUUUUAAUGUAGGUCAGAGAAAGGCUUGUAGUAAUUCAUAGGACUCAGUAAUCUUAAAUGAUAUUUUUUCUUCUGAAAUGAAUUCUCCUGUAGAAAGUCCUAUGACAUUUACCAGGAAUGAAACCAGGAAGGUUUUCUACAUAAAUUACAUUAGAGAUGUGCAUAUUUUAAAGGAAUGAUCUGUUUUUUAAAGAGUAUUUUUGAACCCUUCUCCAGAAUAAUAUUGCAGGGAUAAAGGUCUUUCUUCAAUGAAGAAGAUAGAUUAGGAUGGCUGUUCUUGUUGUACUAUUUUAAUAAACUCUUUCACUAGGGUUUCCAUCAUAAACUGUUCUACUGGAAGAAAAAAUGUGACAUUUGCUUUCAGGUGAGUCAGAGGUUCUGCAGAUUUGAAUUGAUACAUGAGGUGAAAUGUGUUUUUAUUUUAGUAGCACCAUAGUCAAGAAGGCAAGGGAAGGAAAGGAAGGAGUUGUAACUUUCAGCUGCUUGUGAUGUGCAUGAGUCAUAUCUUGGCGGACCAUGACCUGCUGUGAACCAUGCUGGGCUGUGAGGAAGAUCUCCCAAGCAUUUAGAGAUAAUGGGUGGGUGAAUUGUAGCCUGACAUCCUCUCUCACAAACAGGCACAUAAGAACACAGCAGAAAUCUCUGCUGGCUUUUUGUUAUGUUAUGAGAAAUGCAUGAAUAUACCAAAAUCCAAAUAAAUUAAUAUUUUUAUUCGUAAGAGAGGAACUAUUGCCAGCAUUUCAUUUUUUACCAUGCCCUGUCAACUUGUGAAAACAACUUUGCUGCUUUGUUGUCUGCUGGUGUCAGAGCUGCUGUAGUUUUGCUUCGACAAUGCCCUUCAGAAUGCUGUCAGGUUUUCAGGUUAGCUGAGAGCUUGGAGUGCUGGGCAGAAAAGAGCUUGAAGUGGAAACACUACAGGUGUGUGAUCUGCUCGUACCCUGGGCUUGUGUCCGUGCGGACCUCCAAGGAAUCGUGGACUGUGAGGAGUCCUUUCCUGUGACUGCUCAGCACUCCCAGGAGAGGGACAUCAGCGAAGGGUGUAAGUCUUGGUUUAGGUCUUCUCAGAAAGAAGCAGUGUCUAAGUCCUGCGGCACCUGACCCCUGUCGCAGCCCUCACCCAUGCUUAGGGAAAGGGUAUGCAAUGCAUGUUAUUUAGAAUUUCAUCUUGUCUUCACUCUUUCCUUUGCUCCCUUUGGGAGAAAAAAAUGUCAUUCAGACCUUUUAGGAAAGGGUUCUGGAUCUUUGGUCCAAGGAGAAGUUGAAAUGCUGAAGCUCCAAGUGAACAGCAUUCAACAGAAGUUUGAUCCUCAUUUUCUUAGUGAAGUCCCUUGCCUGGCUCUCUCCUUGCCAUCGCCUGCUCCUCUCUGCCUUGCUUACUUCCCUCUGCCCAGGGAGGCUGGUUCUUAGCACCAGGCUUGGCAUCCUAUCUGCGGCGCAGGCACUUCUAAGGCAGGUUCUGCAGUGCCUUUCUGAUGUUGAAAUAGCUUUACAGCUGUAGUCCUAACGCAACACAAAUAUGAAAUACAUGUUGAUACCUUGUUCAAAGAUGUCAUUGUGAGCAUGACUUCAGCAUAUGUGGCAGCCUGCAGCUGUGGGUCUCCGCUGAAUAGUUUUACUCUGGGGAGCCUUUUCAAAGCAGCUUUCUCCCAAUACUUUCUUGUUACCAAGAGUGAGGCAAUAAAUUGCAGAUAGCAGUUUUCUGAAGCAUGUCUGUUAUUAAAAAGCCAGGCACAUCAGUAAGGAUUGGUUAUGCUGCUGGUAUACCAAUGCAGUGUCUGCAACUUAAUUCUGUCAAAAGCGCCUAAUGUGCCUGGUUGACCUGGUUGGUGUUGUUUCACUGUUAGAGAGUGGGAAGUCAGCAGGUAAGAAUGGUUCCUGGAUAAUAGCUCUCUUAAAUAUCUUUGAAAAGGUUCCAGUCUAAAGAGAAAUUCUCCUGCAUGCUAAGUGGCUGUCAUCUUUGUUCAUAUACACAAUGUCCUCUAACUCCCUAACUGUUACAGGUGACAUGUGGGAUGUAGCUUUUUGUUCCCCAUACAAAGCUCUUUCAGUCCAAGAGAUUUUCUUUGCCUUGAUUUCUUCUUGUAUUAGACCCUCUGUAAGCAUCUUUUAUGCAUGAGGUGACCUAACACAGAAAGCACUGAGCAAAUUUGGUUGGAAAUCAAGAUAGAAAAUAGCACAUCCUGUUUGUCUUGAAUAUGUGCAUGCUCUUUGCUGUGAGACCUGAGAUAUAAUCAGUAUGCUAUUUAGUUUUGACUGGCAAAUUGAAAAGCCACAGAAAUUAUAUCAGAAGAUGACUAUUUAAAAAUAAUAGUAAUUAAAAAAAAUAAUCCUGCAAACAUACCAAACCAGUAAAUUAAAUACUUUCAGAUGAGUUUCACUGCUGUAUUUCUUCUCUUUAGGUUUUGAGUAUGCUCAGUGCAAAACUCUUCAUCUCUCUAUAUGUGUGAAUAAUAAUUUUGCAGCUGUUUGUCAAGUAGCACUGUAUUAGCCUUUAACAAAAUAUUGAUAUUCUGCUUUGAACAUUUCACCCUAAUACGAAAUCCUGACCUUGUGAAAUAGUAUUUUGUAACCUUGGAGGGGUUACUUUUGGUGUUUAUCUUCUUCACAGGCUUGCAGUUGCAGCUAAUCUAAUACUGAUUUAUUUCCCAGAAGUUUAUUGUUUGCAAUUGGAGGUAUGGUUCAGGCUGGCUGCUAUCUUAACCCUUCCCUGCAAAGGACUUGCACUGCAUGGGCAGCUCACUGAAGGAUUGAGGGCCGGAGGGCUGCAGGUGCCCCAGGAGCAGGGUCCCUGGUGAGGUGUGAGUGGUUCUUAAAUACACACUCCUAGCUGGAUUUCAUAAGGACCCCAAACAUAAAAGUCAUUAUAAAGUACCCCUAGUCAUAGAAUCAUACAAUCAUUAAGGUUGGAAAAGACCUCCAAAAUCAUCAAGUCCAACCAUCACCACUAUGCUCACUCCUAGAAUCAUAGGAUCAUAGAAUUAGUCAGCACUGGAACACCCAUCGCAGUGGGACAAGCCCUGAAUUCUAUUGAACUUGGACUUCUCUUGCCCAGGAAAGAUUAGGUGGCUUGGUGGUAAGCUAGAGACAAGGGAAAGCUGCCUGAUGUCUUUCUCUCCAUUUGCAGCGCUUGCUUUUCAGUCCCAGUAUCUCUUGAGUGUGUCAUGUAGCCUUUCUGACUUGAAACAAGGCAUUUUAUUUCUCAUCCUAAUUACUUUCUUAAAAUGCAUCAUCCAUCGGAGUGCUUUAGCAUGUGAAUAGCCUCAGUGAUUGUAGAUUGAAUGAGAACAGAGUUUACAAUAAGACAUGGGUUGAGAAAAUAGACUUACUGACAAUGUAAAUAUUAUACUCAGAUACAAAUGUGAAUCUUCUUGAAAUUAUGCAUUGAUUUAGAACAAAUGAAAUGGUGUUUAUCUCUUUCCUCUCUUUUAGCACUGUGUAUCCUACAAUAUAGGAGUGCUGAUUGCUUCCUUUAUGAGGUCCUCUCCUCAAUGCCUACAUCUUUUCAUCCCCUGGGCUGCAGGCAGGAGAAGUAGAUCCCUUGGGCUGACCUGAAUGCUGUCGUUCAUGAUGAAGAGCAUAUUAAUUUGAAGCAACUGUAAAGCAACUUGUGGACAAAUCCAUGCUGGAGUGAAGUGUGGUCCAGUUCACUGGAACCAGCUGUUAAAAUAACAGUCUGUUCCUGAGUUAGUUGCUGAAAAAUACUGCCUGUAGCAAGUGCUGCUUGCUGCUGCUGCUGCAGCUUUCAGGAGCUGUGUUUGGCGUUUGUUGAUGGACUGUUUGAGUCUUGUGGAUUUUGUGCCUUGUUUUUCUAGCUUGCAUCCCAGAGGCCUUGAGUACAGAGGGUCCCGGUGGUUUCCCCAGUCUUGGGAUGAUUCUUGUUGUCGUGUACUGAAAUUAUUUGGGAAUUUACCAGAGAAAGGAGUGAGGACUUAUUCCUUUGUGUCUGUCCCUGGUUUUUCAGAAGGAGGCACAAGAGCUGCACUUCAGAAGUAACAGCCAUAAAACUGGGGAUAUAUACCUACAAACAUAGAAGUAAUGUGGCCUGUAGUUUGAAUCAUUCAAAAGUACUCCAACCUUUGAGCAAAGGUUUUGUCCACUUCAGACUAUCUGGCAUUUCAUACCUGAACAUAUAUGUGGGCAGUCAACCAAGAAGGCUACUCUUUCAUAGAAUCAUAGAACUGUCGAGGUUGGAAAAGACCUUCAAGAUCAUUUAGUCCAACCCAUCCCCACCGUGCCCACUAACUAUGGCUCUCAGUGCCACAUCUCCGUGGUUUUUGAACACCUGCGGGGCAGUAACUCCCCCACCUCCCUGGGCAGCCUGUGCCAGUGUCCAGCCGCUCUUUCUGAGGAGAAAUUUCUCCUAAUAUCCAACCGUAACCUACUCUGACACAACUUGAGGCCAUUCCCACUAGUUCUAUUGCUGUUACCUGGGGGAAAAAGCCAACCUCCAUCUCACCACAACCUCAUUUCAGGCAGAUGUAGAGAGCGAUGAGGCCUCCUCUUCUCUAAAGACGCUCUAAAUGUGCAGCAGCAGACCUGUCUCCUGAUUCAACACACAGCCAAUUUCUUCUCUAGUUGUUUGUGCAGCCGUUCAGCCCUCUGCCAUUUUAAGAUUUAUUUUUACGUGAAAAGUAAAAAAAAAAAAAAAAAAGUUUAUUUUCCUCUGUCCAGCAGAAACAUGUGAGUUGGUCUCUCAACAUGGAGUGGUCUCUUUUCCAUGAAAUCUCACAUGUCAACCACUUGGCUACUGUGGGUGCAUAGGUAGUGAGUUUAUAAGGCCGGUGCAGUUUUAUCAGAAUGGAGGAGCUGAGACUUAAGUGUGAGAGUUUUGAAAGAGUGCAGUAAGCCUCAGUGAGAAAAUUUCUUUCCGGAGCUCCUUUCUUGGUUAUUUUUGUGGAUUUUCUUUUUCUGCUUCAAGGAUAUUCCUUACAAGCCAAUGCUUUGAUAAGCAAAGCAAACCUUCUGAUGAAACAUAAAGACUGACUUUUCAAACCAUAGUUGUAAAACUGCAGAAAUUAUUUUUCUGCCCCUCUGUAUAGGUCCUUCUCUCACCUUUUGUCUGAAAUCGAUGUGAUAUUUUGGUUAGUUGUGUCAAAAACUGGAACAGCUAUGCCAGGUUUUUGCCUUGUGCUAAUAAACUUGAUCUGGACAAGGUUACAGGUAACAGACAUGGAUUUUUGCAAACAGAAGUCAGAGAAAGCAUGUCCGCUGUUACCAGAGUUGUGGCUAACAAAAAUGUGGGUAACAAAACAAAAUGACCCAAACAUCCCCCUUCCAAAUGGAAUAGCCCAUAGUGCUGGAACUCGAGUGAGUCAGUAAAGCUACCAAAACCAGGGUCACAAACCCUUGCCCUAAGCAGAAAUGGUCUCUGCUUGGGCUUCGUUGUUUAAAUGUGACAAGUACAAGCUGUACCCAUAACUGCUUCAGUCUGUGGAAGAAAUGCUGUUUCAAGCAUGAAUCCCUUUUUGGACCCUCUAUACCUUGAGAGACAAGGAUUAAAGAUACCAUAUUUCUGUGGAAACGUUUUGGACAAAAGUCACUGCACUUUGCUGUGUGCUCACGUUCUGUUCUAAAUCCAGGACUGGCAAGGAGUUCCUGUGGGUGGUGGGUCAUGGCAAAGCUGUGGGAUGGAACGUGGAGAUCUCCAUAAGCAUGGGGAGCCAAGGGAGGGCUUGUUUGAUCCUUUGUUGGAAAGCAAGAUCUGUUCUUCAUCUUCCGAGUUUUUUGUAUUGGCUGAUCCAUACCAAUAGAUCUAUAAUGUGCAGUACGUCAUUAAUAAUUAAAUAAGCUAUCCAUCAUAUUGACCAUUUUGACUAGAUAAGCCAUUCACAGAGCUCAGCAGCAUGUUGAGAUGUUUGGCAGCAUGAGAGUUAUGGGUCAGGUACAGAAACUGUUCUGAGGUCAUGUUGUAAUUGUGCAUAUUUUCAGGCUUUUACUGCUUUGUAGGGAAGUGAACCCCACAAAAUAGUCCUGCACUUUAAUGGAAAGGACAAAUCCUGGAAUCCUUUUCCUCCUAAAAUCCUGACUGAACCCAGUAAGGCCAGUCCAGUAACCAUUAGUCAGUGCAAGUACAGCCAGUCCUGUAGCUGUUAUUCACUCUCUGAGGCUGAAUCCAGUCCUGUCUCAGUUAUUUUCAUUCAGCGAAUGUCCAUCCACUUCUUUAUUUCUCCCAGAGGAAAUCUGGCAGCUCAUCUGCCUCCAGAGGCUGUGAAAUAUUGUCAGGUUUCAGAACUGAAUGUGUCAGCCUGUCUGAGGAACCGUCAGUCCCAGGGGCAGCAGUGACUGUGGCACUGGCUCAGAAACCAGCCAGCUCUGCGUGAAGGAACCAGUGCCCUGAAACAAGAGCUGCAACAAGAUGAUUCCCAAAGAGCCACCCAUGAACAUGCAUUAAAAGGGAGGCUUCAUCCUUGAGCACACCCAGAAAUACAAGAUCUCCAGCCCUGUGCAGCUGCCAGUGUUAUCUCCUGCUGGGAAACCUGUGCUGGUGGGCAGUCAUCCGGCUCUGGACUUGAGCAGUGAACCGCUUGCAGGUGCUGUUGCCCCGCUCCUGGAGGAGCACCGUCACCCAUUUCUCAUCAUUGGAGUUUGGCAGUGUUUGGGUUUGGACUUGAUGAUCAAAAAGGCAAUUGUCUUUUUCAGUGGAAAUAAUGAAGCGUGGUCGGAAUGUGCCAUGAUUUUAACCCUUACCUUUGGCCAGCUGCUGGUGCUUUGGUGUUUUGUUUCGGUGGUGUUUCAGUAAUAAUUCUGGCACGAAAUUAUUUUGUUAUGCAGCCUCUGUCUUAUCUGUUGGCUUUUGAAAGCUGUCAGAGUAGCAUCACUCACACGCUCUCUCCCUUCCUUGCCUUGCCCUGUGCUUGUUACCUUUAAAAGAAGAGUUCCAGUGUCUCCAUUAGUGGGAGGAUUUUUGCCAGAAAUGAUUUUAAGUGCUGUGGAAUGAACAGUUCAUUAAGCUGAAAAAUAAAUUUAAUGUGUUCAAGAGCCUGGGGCUAUUGUUACAAUCACGCUUGCAAAUAGUCCCCACCACAUUUCUUAUUUAGGAGGAUCGGGGUUUAAGAGUACUUCUUGGAACAUCUUAGAGUGUUUUUUAUCAUUGUUUGGUGGUGCUUUCUUCCAGCAAACAAACUUUCAGGUUUAUUCACCUGCACUUAUUGAGGAUGGGAAGAGUCAAAAACCUGUUGACAUAGGCCUUAAUAUAUAAAUGUAUUUUCAUGAGACCAAGACUAGAAAUACUAAAAUACCAUAACGCAGAUUGUGUGCAUUUCUGGGUCACAGAGAAGCAGGAAGGGGAAAUCUUUCAACAGAUUGUUUUUGUGAGACUGAUAGCCAAAUGCGACAGAUUUUAGAUCUGCUUUAAAUAAAACAUUCUUUAAUUGAGGGCAUGUUUUUAUUUUCCUCUUCUUUUUUUUUCCUAGGGCGGAAUGUGAGGGUUUGGACUGAAUAGUUUGAACUUAAUCUCCAGAGGACCCUUUCAACCCCUUCAGUCCUGUGAUUCUGAAAUUCGGUUUGUAGAACUCCAUCUGAAAUUCCAUGAUAUAUACGGGAUUUUAAAAAAGAUUACCUGCAACUUGUAUUUUUCACCAAAGAGGAAAGCAUUGCAGUAGGGGAAAGGUAAUAUGUUGCUGAGGAUAUUUUUCUUUCACUGUUACCACGAGGAAAAAGAAGUGAAAAGGGCUUUGAGAUGUAUCUUCAAAGAGGGUAACUUGGCAUUGUGGUUCAUGAUCACAUUUUCAGAGUACCUGAACCUCAAUCCUGAUGAGGCAUGUGUUAUAUCAUUCAUCUUUCACUUUAGGGGAAAACUUGCUAGAACUUAAUGCACUGAGAUGAGAAUAAUCAUAGAUUCAUAAUCAACAGAUGACGAAAGGGUGCUGAAGUGUUCUAGUUUCUCCUAUUAAUCGAUAGAGGGAGAUGGUUUCACUAUUGAAGAAAUAAUAUUUUACUUGAAGAUUUUCCAUGAAAACUCUGUAUUUACAUAUCAAGUUCCUUAAAUCGCAGGCUGCUUUGUGUGCAUCAGGAAAAUAGGAGACUUCUUCUAACCUUUUUUUACUUUAUUUAUUUUACUGCACUCACUAACCUACAGAUCUGCAACAGUUUUUCUGGCUUGCUCAUUUGAACUUCUGACCGUAAAACACUAAAUGAAGGCUGUCAUUCGUCUUCAGUGUUUUACCAAGACACAGAGUGUUACCUCUGUGAGUGUGCAGGAGCUUUUAAUCUCUGCAGUCAUAACUACAUUUCAUUUUUGCUUUUUGCAAUGAGAAAAAUGUUCCCUCUGUGGAAGUCAUGACUAUUUUUUUUCCUCUGUUUACAGAUGAUCGCUGUCCAUAUUUGCUGUUUCUACGUGCAUUUAUUUCUAUAUUUUCUUAGUGAAGUUGGCAGCCUCUGUUAUGAGUGGAGAGCAAGGAAAAAACUGUAUUGCAGUCACAGUGCACUUGCAGACAGCUCUUCUAAUGCCAGGGCUCUGUGUUUUGGGGUCUUCCUCAGACAACUGUUUGCACUACGAGCAAAGCUGCUUCCAAAAAAAUACCUUUAAGUGUGGUGUAGGUCAAAAUCCUUGCACAAAAUCUUUGAGCAGGGAGGAACGUAUGUUGAUGGCGUAUCUUCUGCAGCCCAAUGGAAAAAAAAAACUGGGGGGAGGAUGUCUGUGACUAUGAAUUGAGAAGUGACAUGUAUUUAUUGUGAAGCAAUACUCCUGGUCUCCAUCAAACUGGAAGUAAAAAUAUCAAUCAUAGAACCUGCUAACUUCUUGUCCGCUCACUCUGAGGGAAGCUUUACUACUGAUCACUAUCCAUCAUUAUUCAUCCUGUCUAUCUACUACUUCGUAUGUACCUCUACCUCCAAUCUGUGAUCAUUAUCUGGAUAAGAAGCUGAAGUCUCGUUUGAAAAUGAUGUUAGUUAGGAGUAGUUGGACAAAUACAAACAUGGAAAAGUAUAAGCAGUUUUGUAUUUUCCCUUCUCGUUAUGUGAGGUGUGUGAUGGAAGGAAUUGUUUCAAUUGACAUAAAUUCCAUUUUAGGUAAAUCUGGAUGCCUAAAGUAGUUUUAAAAUGUGUUUUUCAUGUCAUCCAGCACAUGAAUGAACACUGUGAAGAACAAUAAAUAAGCUUAAUCAUCAGUGAAAAGUCGUUGUGAUGACUUUCAGUGCAAAUGGUUAUUUAAAUGUUGUAUGAAACCACAUUUAAGUCCCAGUAAAGAUAAACAGUAUUUGUAAAUAACCAGUAUAAAUCAUCCUGGGCAACAGAAAUGGCCUGCGGUCUCCAUGGUAUCUUAAAAAUGGGACUGCCUUACAUAGCACUUCAUCUUCUCACUGUGGCAAAAUGUUAGUAAUUGUAAAGGAAUUUAAGGAGGUGGGGGGCAGUCGUCAGUAAGUAAGCUUCAUGAAGUCUGAUUGCUGUUUUGAAAUACAGAUAAACAUCUUCAAUUUCCUGACAGCCCAAGGGAAAUUUGGUAUUCAUCGCCAUACAGAGUAAUGAAGUACCUUUUUGUGCUGGAUUUCUUACUUGAGGAGACGUUCCAUUUGUAGUAAUGACAUGGGAAAGGAAACCAGUCCCAGGUGGAGGCACUGAGUGAGCAGAGGUAGGCCAACUCUGCUUGGGAGCAUUUGUCAGAUUAUUAGAAAUCAUGUUGAAAAUUCAUGUAUUACUUUAAUUCCUUUAUUUCUUCUAGUAUAGGCAACUGUCCAAUAAAACAAAACAGACUGAAUCAAUUGAAAAAAAAAAUACACUCUGAACAGGAGGCUUCCUGCUUUAUUUAGAUUCCUUAAAUGCUUGAUUAACAAGUAUUACUAUUAUCUCUUGUCACUUCAAAGCAUUUAAAUCUUUUACUGCUUUCUUGUUUUCCAAAUGACUUUAGGAAAGGAGGAAUAUGUUUGGCAGGAGUGGGAUGCUCAGAGCUGAAAGAUGAGUGUUUAUCUGUAACUCUGCCCAUGUGUUUGCUGUGCAAGAUCUGUUUGUUGAUCUUCUGCUGCUGCUUUUUCCCAGCUGUGGAAUGGAUAUAUUCAUCUGCAGCAGUCUUGAUUUUUCUUGAUUUUCAGUGAUAGCCUUGAGCAGGCGGUUCUCCAGAGGUGCCAGUGAAUUGAGAAAUGCUGUGGUGAUAAUUUUAAAUGGCUGUAAAUGGAGCAUUGUGUGGGGCAGCUCAGGGAGGAAGGGAGAAAACCUGAUAAUCAGUGCUGGGCUGGCAGCUGUCCCUGUCAGAAUGAGAUGGCUGCUGGCCCCAGGAAAGAUCUCAGGGCCUCAUGCAGAGGAGGAGAACCCUCUGGGAUGGGGGCCUUGGCCUUGUCCUCACCUGCAGCGUGCUUCCCAGGCCCUGCAGGCCAGGAACUGCACCUCACUAAGGAAGAUGCUCCUCUCUCCUUUUCAUGAAGACCAUUGCUGUUGCACUGCUUGCUGCUGACAUCGCUGGGAUGGGGCAGCUGUGCCUGGCUGUCCAAGUUUGUGCACUUGGGACCAGUGCACCUGGCUGCCAGCCCUUUCGUCUCUUCCCCAGUGCAGAAAUUGUCUUCAUCGCUCUUCCCUGGGCCCAUUUCAUGGUUCCCUUGGGUGACAAAGCAAGUCUGCAAAUCUGCAGCUGGUCAAAGAAAGUUACCACAAAUGCUUCUUUUCCUUCAUGGUGUAAGGCCCAUGCCCACGUGGCCACUGGGCCUCAGCGCACUUCAGUCACUCAAACUCUUGCCAUCAAGUAAUUUUACAGCAAAGAUUGAGCACUUUCUUUCUUGGGAAAGUUUGAGAUUGCUUUUUUUUAAUUUCCCCUCCAAACUUCCACCCAAUUAAAGAAUUUACUAGACUCUAAAGAAUAGGCUGCCUGCUGUAAUUAAUACACCUGUAGCGAUGCCAGCACAACCUUUCUUUUCCAGGAUCACUACAAGCUGCUGCUCUGAUGGAUGUUAGCAGUCCCCAGGACUCUGGGAUAGAUUAUAUAGAAUCAUCCCAUUAAGGUUACUGCAGCUCACUAUACCAUUUUGGAACAGUAACUAUAAAAUCAUUAUGGAGAAAAUGUUCAAAUAAAUCCGUGUUUGGAAGAAUGAUAAAUGGAAGUUCACCAAAACAAACAAAAAUAGGCUUUAAAUACACUAAACAUAGAGUGAUUCCUGUAGAAAUAGGGGACGUGAGCUAACUUUAAAUGGGAAAUUACUCUGGAAGGCAACAGGCUGGGGAGUAGCAGUACACAAGAAAUAGAACAUAUGUUCUCUGUGUUAUUUCAUAUCCAGACAAGGCCAUAUGCUCCAGAAGGGAUGAGUAAGGUAAAGGAGCAGGAAAUAGGAGCACGGAGGUUAUUCUUCUCUUCACAGUGUGAGUGAGGAUAAUAAUACUUUAAAUGGCACUGAGUUUUCAGUUGCUGCUUUUGAUAUCAGGACAGGCAAUUGCUGAUCUAAAAACAAGAAAGUCUGACACUUUUUUGAAGGCAGUUGAAAAUAAGUUGUAAUGAGAAAGUACUUCAAAAGCAAAGAAGUGAGGAAAAAGGAAGUAAGAAGCGACAGAAGCUACCUGGAGGAAAAAACACCCCAAACCUGCCAGCUACCAAAGUGCUUCUCAGUCUGGUGGUACUCAGCACCUGGAAGCUGGAGCCUGACAAACUGGUAUUGAAAUUGGCCAUUUUUUAAUUUUUUUUCGAUGUACCUCUACAUAGCAAUAUUGGUAGUCAGCUGCUGGGUCUAACUUCUCUGGGAGCUGUAGCUCUUUGUAGUUCUUUGCCAUGGUCUUGUUUUAAAUCAAGACUGACUGCAACUCUGGAAGAUAUGCUUUAGCAAAAGCACAUAUCUGGGUUCAAUACAAGAGCAACUGUGAGAAAGCCUCUGGUCUUAUGAGAGCUCAGAGUAAAUAAGCUAGUGGCCUCUUCUCUAUUUAUCUGUACUUUCAGGGCCUGCAUGACCAUUUCUCAAGUAAACCACUCAUGGCUCAGGUCCAUUAACUAGGAUAUGGGCUGAUUACAGGAAUCCAUCACAUCUAAAAUUGUUUUGCUACCUUUUUUCUUAAAGUAUGUGAUGGAUGCAAUAAAAUGAACUGUAUGUAUAUAUUUCUCAAUUUCCCUAUUUUUUUUGACUGGGUGGCCUGUUAAUGGCCUACCCUAUUCACUACAGUGCUUAAUAAUUUCACAGUGAAUGCUGCUUGAGUUUCUGUGCAGCUUACACACGUGUGUGUACACUUAAAUAUAUGAACAUUGAUAGACUGCAGGUGGAAGAGCAAGUAUUAAACUUCACUUUUAAUAUGACUGCAAAGCUGAGCUCUAGGUUAUAUUAAUGAAAAAUACUUUGUACAGGUUGCAAGGGGUGCCAUAUCUCUCAAUAGAGAAGUACCACUUCUGUAUUCCUGCUGUACUCUCCUUUGCUCAUGAAGGCAUUUUCGUCCUUUGGACAAGAGCUGUCAGUCAUUGAAUCUUCAAUACCAGCCUGUGAGGGGAAGCACGUGGGGCUUCUCAUAAAGUCAUUUCAUUUCUUUCCUUUUAGUUGAUUUUAAUGAAAUCCUGUCACUGUUGUCCUUUCAAUUUUGAGUUUGAGUUAAUCUCAAAGCAAAUUAAACCAACAAGUUUAAACAGAGAUAGUAUUUUAAAAUAUUUUUUUACACUGAGCAAUGCUUUUGAGUUCUUUCACACCUUUGUGGACUGCUCAGUGGCUAUAAGCCAUGUGCUCAAGGCUAGAUCCUUGGCUGGUGUAAAUAGCUUUUGUGGUUACUACAUCGUUGGCCUGAAUGAAACCACCAUGCUUUGUAACAGCUGAGGAGAAUCCGCCCAGUCUUUCUAAAUCUUAGUUUGAAAGACUCUGUACAAUUCUCAGUCAAAAAAUAAAAAUGCUCAAUUGCAUCUCUACCUGCAUAAUGUAGCUCUUCUGAAGUGCUGUCAUGAACUACAUUACCAUACGCUUAAAGCAAAUAACCCACUGAUCCAUCUGAUUGGUAGUAACCAGAGUUGCCCGUAAUAUGUAGGGCAAGAGCCAUACUUUGACCGUGUCAUUCCAAAAUGCUUUUCUUGCUGAACUGUAAUGAAUUUGAGUCCUUAGCCACUGUGGAUGAGUUCCUGACACCCUGGAGAUGCAUUGCAAGAAGAAGCUAUGCAUAACUUAUGCUUUAUUAGUUCUAUUCUGCUGGCAUUGUAUUGCCUGUUUGGUCAUAGUGUGCUGAAGUAUGCAAAAAAGAAGGGGCAUGAAAAUGACAUUAAUUAGAAAUGUGUUGGCUGACUUCAUAAAGUUUCAGUUCCAGCGCACUGGAAUGUUUUCAGGUCUGUGCAUAUAGCUGAUAGGUUGGCACACGUUCUCCUAUUUUCUACCCCCAAAAAAGCUUUUCUGAUGCUUGUGUUUUCCAUGGAAAGUAUUUCUAGAGUGAAUAAUUACUAUAAAUUUAGAUAACAAACUACAGUGUUUUCCUCAGUAGAAACUAAGUGAAUAUUUAUGGAAAACCUCCUAUAUCCAUCAGCUAGCUAUCUGUGAACAGCUUGCAAAUAGAGAACAGAAACUAAUGCAGCUCCAACAUUAUAUUAGGUAAUUUGCAUGGUGGCGAAACUUAUUUUGCUGCAGGACUUAAUUUUCAUUGUAUGCAUCACUAACGAUGAGCCCCAAAUUACUCUUUUCUGAGCAAGUCCUUGGGGAUUAAACCUACCACAUUCCUCUGCCAAAAGAGAAAUAACUUCAGCCAUCUGACAAAGUCAGUGUACAUUCAUUAUAGCAGGAUUUUUUCUGCAUUCAUCUGGGCUCAGGAAAAUAAUUACCAUGGCUUCUGGUUAUGGCUUAAGGAAAGUUCUUUUUUCUUCUCCUUUGCCUAGUGACGAAAUUUAAACUUGACUGUCCAGCUAUGACUGUAUAGUAGAGACUCAUUGCUAUAAGAAGGUGUUGUGUUGUGUUCUUUUUUCACUUAACUUGUCACAUGUAUGUGUAUUGCAGCUAACCUGAGUUUUGUAUGCAAUAUUAUUUGAGAUUUGUAGGAAACUUUUACUUCAGUAUCCUGCUUCCCAAGAAGUUAUGCCAGUGUCUGGGUCAUCCAUUGAUUAUAAAUGCUAUAAAUAUAUAAAUGAUAUAUUAUAUACGACAAUAUUCAAUCAAAGGAGGGCAACGAAGCUGUGAAGGGUCUGGAGCACAAAUGUUAUGGGAAGCAGCUGAAGGAACUGGUGUCUGGAGAAGAGGACGGUCAGGGCAGGCCUUAUCGUUCUCUAGAAUUGCCUGAAAGGAGGUUGUGGUGAGGUGGAGGUUGACCUCUUCUCCCAGAUAACACCGAUAGGAUGAAAGGAAAUGGCCUCAGGUUGUGGCAGGGGAGGUUCAGGUUGGGUAUUAGGAAACAUUUCUUCUCAGAACAGUGAUGCACUGGAUCAGGCUGCCCAGGGAGGUGGUAGAGUCAACAUCCCUGAAGGUGUUCGGGAAAUGUGGAGAUGUGGAACUGAGGGCUGUGGUCCGUGAGCACUGUGGGAGAGGAUUGUGUUUGGACUAGAUGAUCUUAUAGGUCUUUUCCAACUUGAAUGAUUCUAUGAUCACUUGUCAGAGCUGUGGACAAUACUGUUUUUUUUUAUUGGCUCAUAAAAAAUAACUAGAUCCUUUUCUACUAAUUUGAACUGUGAGAAAAGAUGCGAACUUUCCAUAAAUGAGCCCACUCAGUUUGUCCAGUGGUGUUUCUGCUUGCUUUAUUUUGUUUUCCUAGUCUUUCCUUUUGGUGGACAUGGGCACAGGAGACUGCAGCACUGCUAUGCCCUCAAGGAAAGCACUCUGCUCUCCUGAAGCUGACACCGAAUUUGCAGAAGAACUGAGGAUUUGCUGGAGCAGCAGAUGGAGCCAUCGCCUGACCAGAGCCCAGCAGGUGCAGUAGUUAUCCAGCAGAUAAGGAGAUGUCCAUCUCAUAUCUGUGCUGUUGAAAGCUUUCUUUUUAUUAAGCAUUCAGCAGAGCAGCACGGAAAGCUGUAUUUCCCUGGCGAAUAAUGAGAUACCCAAAGCAGUGGUCUGUGAAGCCUUUUUCUCCUUUUCUUGGCUCAAUGAAUAUUUGAUUCCUGUGAAGCAGUUUAGCUUCAGUAGAAAAGAUUGAUACCACUGCCUUUCCCACCUCAGGACAGCCUGUACCUGGAGCUUUAAACACUUCCCGUGACAGCUGGCAGCUUAAAUAAAAUGAAGAGUGGGAAUGAGUUCCUCCACCCCAUCUACUGCCACUGGUUUUGUGCUUGCAGUGAAAGGCUGAGAUGAGAAGGCAGAGCUGUGCCGUUGUCCCCUUCCACUGGCACCUCACCCACCCAGGAUGCAAGAGAACCCACCUUGAAGUGAGCAGCAGGUAGAAUGGAGAGGAACCUCUCUAUGGAUGCAGUUUGUGUUGUCUGAACCUUAUUUUUCUGCAGGGGGUGCUGCCUCGUCUGCUCUAGACAGACGAGAAAAAAGGGAAUGAUUGUCAAGAAUGGCUUUUAUGUCACACACAGCAAGCUGGACCUAGGUGAUAACCUAAUGUUAAAUGUGUUCCAAAGCCAUCUGCAAAUACCUUGCAAUGAAAGCAGCGUGUGCCAAUGGCACAGGAAUGUUCUUUGCUUGGACAACUCAUGAGCAAAUCCUUCAUUAGGUGGCAGUACAGGUUCAAAUAGGAAGAUCCAGAAAGGAGGAGUUCACAGAACUGUAGGGGUUGGAAGGGCCCUCUGGAAAUCAUCCUCCUGCUUUCUGAGUCUUCCUUUUUGUACCUGCAUUUCUGACUCGAUGAACGAUAUGCAGCUGUGCCCACCAGGAACUCCCCUCGGUUUCUGCUUUGCUCCCCCAGUGGUUGUGCUCCUGAUAUCACGUCAUCUGCCCCAUCUUGGCACAACCCAUCAGAAUCCAUGGGAAUAGAAUUUACUCUGCAAUUAUCUUGUCAUGGUUUUGUGAUUUUUGUUUUCAGUAUUCCACAUCAUAACAUCAUGUAAAGCACUGUCAGUUAAAGAGUUAAUUUCCUGGUUAAUGCAAACUGCCUUUUUUGGUGUGUGGUCCUCUGAGGGAGAGGGGAGGAGGUGCACUCCCCAGGGGUCUUUGCGUUGGAGGGGGAGGUGAAUCUGCCUGGUAGACAUGGGGUCUGUUCCUUCCUGCCCGGCGGAGACAGCACGUGGUCCUCCUGCAGUUUACUGUAUAAGACUCUCAGCGUGUAAACUCUCUAUGUUACGGUUUCACUGGCCUCAAUUUCGAUAUAUUUAGUAAAAUUAGUUGUUCCUCCU